rnacentral:rRNA from 1 species
AACGAACGCUGGCGGCAUGCCUAACACAUGCAAGUCGAACGAGACGUUCGGGUCUAGUGGCGCACGGGUGCGUAACGCGUGGGGAGCUGCCCGUGGGUUCGGAAUAACAGUUGUAAACGACUGCUAAUAACGGAGGGUGUCGUAACGCCAAAGAUUUAUCGCGCUGGGCUGGGGCCGCGUAGGCUUCGCUAGUUGGUGGGGUAAAGGCCAGCCAAGGAGACGUUGCUUAGCUGGUCGGAGAGGAUGCCACGUCACGAUGGGAAUGAGACACAGCCUACAAUCCGACGCAAGGGAGGAGUGGGGUAUACUGGACGCGGAGCGAAAGCCUGAUCCAGCAAUGCCGCGUGAGUGAUGAAGGCCGUAGGGUUGUAAUGCCCUUUUACACGAGAUGAUAAUGACGGUACCGGGAGAAUAAGCCCCGGCUAACUCCGUG